rnacentral:tRNA from 1 species
GGAGGGGUGGCCGAGCGGUCAAAGGCAGGGGACUGUAAAUCCCCCGGGCUUACGCCCUGCGCAGGUUCGAAUCCUGCCCCCUCCACCA